UACGUAGGUGGCAAGCGUUGUCCGGGAUUUAUUGGGUUUAAAGGGUGCGUAGGCGGCUUAUUAAGUCAGUGGUGAAAUACUCUAGCUCAACUAGAGGGGUGCCAUUGAUACUGAUGAGCUUGAGUACAGAUGAGGUAGGCGGAAUUGACGGUGUAGCGGUGAAAUGCUUAGAUAUCGUCAAGAACACCUAUAGCGAAGGCAGCUUACUAGGCUGUAACUGACGCUGAGGCACGAAAGUGUGGGGAUCAAACAGG
rnacentral:rRNA from 1 species